GAUGAACGCUGGCGGCGUGCCUAAUACAUGCAAGUCGAGCGAACGGACGAGAAGCUUGCUUCUCUGAUGUUAGCGGCGGACGGGUGAGUAACACGUGGAUAACCUACCUAUAAGACUGGGAUAACUUCGGGAAACCGGAGCUAAUACCGGAUAAUAUUUUGAACCGCAUGGUUCAAAAGUGAAAGACGGUCUUGCUGUCACUUAUAGAUGGAUCCGCGCUGCAUUAGCUAGUUGGUAAGGUAACGGCUUACCAAGGCAACGAUGCAUAGCCGACCUGAGAGGGUGAUCGGCCACACUGGAACUGAGACACGGUCCAGACUCCUACGAGAGGCAGCAGUAGGGAAUCUACCGCAAUGGGCGAAAGCCUGACGGAGCAACGCCGCGUGAGUGAUGAAGGUCUUCGGAUCGUAAAACUCUGUUAUUAGGGAAGAACAUAUGUGUAAGUAACUGUGCACAUCUUGACGGUACCUAAUCAGAAAGCCACGGCUAACUACGUG
rnacentral:rRNA from 1 species